GCCUCUAAUCUUAUGUAUUCUCUAUUUAGAAACCAAAAUCAGUAUUAAAUGGCUUGUCAUUUUCCAUUUCACUAUGCAAAUUAAUAUUCUACGCGAACAAGGCUUUACGGAUGAAGAGUGCAAAAGGAUAACCGCGGCUGCAAUGAUUUUGUCUGAGGGCUUGGAAACUGAGACACGUUCCUAGUUACAGAAAGGAGAAAUUCACAAAGCCAAAAUAGCGCAAGAUUCAAGAAUUGCUAAGUAUGAACAGGAAAUAUCUUAUAAGCAA